UCCCUCUUCUUCGUGAUCCGUUCCGCGGCGUAGACUCUGUCGCCCAGUUCCAUGGCCGUCGUGUGAAUCCUUAAUCCUUUCGAUCUGACUCCGGACGAGCGCAGGGAUGUCCUCCGAUCGGAUGUCCGUGGCCGCGUCGUGUCGCGCGUGAUAUCCUACGAAACACCAUAUGUAACGAUGAUGAACACCGGGUCACGAGGUGGAUACCGGCGUGCGCCGUGAGCGGAGACACGUGCGCGAUUAACCACGUGGGUGCGAGUUCGUAUCUAGGGACUUCGGAGUCGCAGACCGAUCGAAUCAGUCGAUUGUGUCAUCCUCCCGCCCGCACGCUGUCAUCAACUGUCAAACCGCGACGCGUUCUGUCAUCCGCGAAAAGAGAAGAGGACGUAAGUAGUAAGUAAUAACGACAGAAAGGAAGAUGAAGGGCGGAAGAGUAAGGAACUGAUGUUUUUCGAAAGGCCAGUAGCCGCAUCGAGAACCCGGUGUGCGAGACGAAACGUGGAGCGAAUCACGAUACGAAUUCCGGCGAAGCGCGCAGACUGCGGCUUUCCUCGCGCCAAAUUACGCGCAUUACAACGGGAUGAAUCUAUUAAAGUUUCGGCGAGACCCUACCUUGCAAUCAUAUACCUACAUGCGAAGUGGCGCGUCUUAAUGGCGCGUUAUCGCAGGUUCGGCCGGCCGUAUCGACCGCAGGAUCUCUCGGGCCGCUCCCGAGGCGUAAAGAUGGCGAACGGACCUGAGAGCGAGAUUAACAAGGUGCCCCCGGAGGGGCUCGAAAUACCUGAAGGCAAGAGAGAGAGAGAGAGAGAGAGAGAGGCCGCCGCUCGUCGCUUGUGCCGGCGCACAAUAGCCGUAACGUAAUAAGGGAAAGCAACACACUCGCUCACGCACACAAACGCGCACGUAUUGACACGCACACUUAUUUACUUCGAGGCAGGUGUACCUGCUUGCCUACCUACCCUGGCGAGCCUGGCCUGUCGGGUAGGUAGAGGUAUAACCGGUCGAUACCACGCUCCGAUUAUAGAGGAGCGGCCGACACUGAAUUCUGCAUGAGGCUUUUGUUCCGCUCUCUUUCGCCACGGCCAAUCGGAUUUUCUAUUUUCGCGCGUCCCGCUACCCUCACCUUAUAUUCCUGGCUUUCAUCCCUCUCCUUCGCCGUCGAUUUUUCAAUCGCGACUUUUCGCGAAAAUUUAUUGCGCGCGGAAAACGUUUAUGCGUAUGUGCUGUGGAAAAAGAAACUACGCGUGUAUAUGCAUGCGCACGUGACAGUUGAAAUGUCAUUUUUGGAUUAAUUAAAAUUCUUCGUCAAGUAUAUGCAUUUUUACUUUUAUAUUUAUCGCGCAGACGGACGGCGAUUUUUAGAGGGAUAUUGUGUAUCUUAUUCGUAUAUACAGGGUUUUAUACUGUUAUCUAAAUAAAAUUAUAUAUAGAUGAUGAUUUGGAUAAAAUUUGACGUAAUAAAAAUAUGUAUUUUAUCUGUAUCUUAAAUGAAAAAAGUCAUGACAUAAUCUAGAAUAAGAUAAUUUGGUUCAGAGUCAUAGCACAAA